AGUACGAGUAAGGUAAAGUAAAAUAAACCAUUGAAAAGUAAAAUUCAGAGAUGAGAUAACAAAGACAAAUGACAAUUAUUUUCAGCAAACCCUAAUGCGCCAAAGCCACGGUGUCAAAACUAGCAUGCAAGGACUAAAAGGAACGACAUUAAAUAAGAGAACUGGAUUGCAACUGAAAAGGAAAAGAAAAGAAAGGAAAGAAACAGCCCACCAUCAUGGAGAGCAACAUUGAGAGCAACAUUAUGACCAGAGAGAGACGUCAUGAAUAAGCUGGAUUAAAGAAAAUCAAAGGAACAUCAAAGCAUUAAUGAAUAUCAAGGAUGCACAGGGAAAUCAAGAACAAAUCAAGAAGCGAUAAUGAAACAAAAUGUAUGACAGUGAUAACGCGACCUAAUAAAUUAGAGUAAUAAUAAAUAUAUUAAAUACAAUAUAAAAUAAAGAAUAACCAUGGAAGCAAAUCAUAAAUAUAUUAAUACUAAUACAAUCUACAGAACUUUGUACCAUCGUGUGUUAAAAUAAACUAAAUCAUAACAGUUA